rnacentral:rRNA from 1 species
UUUGUAGCCUGCUAUGGUAUAACUUAGUGGCAGACGGGUGAGUAAUGUAUAGGAAUCUACCUAGUAGUACGGAAUAAUUGUUGGAAACGGCAACUAAUACCGUAUACGCCCCACGGGGGAAAAAUUUAUUGCUAUUAGAUGAGCCUAUAUUAGAUUAGCUUGUUGGUAGGGUAAUAGCUUACCAAGGCAAUGAUCUAUAGCUGAUCUGAGAGGAUGAUCAGCCACACUGGAACUGAGAUACGGUCCAGACUCCUACGGGAGGCAGCAGUGGGGAAUAUUGGACAAUGGGCGAAAGCCUGAUCCAGCUAUGCCGCAUGAGUGAAGAAGGCCUUUGGGUUGUAAAGCUCUUUUAGUGAGGAAGAUAAUGACGGUACUCACAGAAGAAGUCCUGGCUAACUCCGUGCCAGCAGCCGCGGUAAUACGGAGAGGGCUAGCGUUAUUCGGAAUUAUUGGGCGUAAAGGGCGCGUAGGCUGAUUAAUAAGUUAAAAGUGAAAUCCCGAGGCUUAACCUUGGAAUUGCUUUUAAAACUGUUAAUCUAGAGAUUGAAAGAGGAUAGAGGAAUUCCUAGUGUAGAGGUAAAAUUCGUAAAUAUUAGGAGGAACACCAGUGGCGAAGGCGUCUAUCUGGUUCAAAUCUGACGCUGAGGCGCGAAGGCGUGGGGAGCAAACAGGAUUAGAUACCCUGGUAGUCCACGCUGUAAACGAUGAAUGUUAAAUAUGGGAAAUUUAUUUUCUGUAUUACAGCUAACGCGUUAAACAUUCCGCCUGGGGACUACGGUCGCAAGAUUAAAACUCAAAGGAAUUGACGGGGACCCGCACAAGCGGUGGAGCAUGUGGUUUAAUUCGAUGCAACGCGAAAAACCUUACCACUCCUUGACAUG